ACCUCCUUCCGCCGGAGGCAGCCGUCGCGGGCGAGCGAGCGACGGCGGUAGCCGGAGCGAGGGAGCCCGCGGCGCAGUGACUGGCCGCUGACGGAUCCACCUCCUUCCAAUCUCCGAUUCCCCACACCUGUCGCCGUACUUCUCCUCAUUUUCUCCCGAUCAAGAGCGCCGAUGACCUUGCUCUUCUUCCUCCUCCAGACCAAAUGUGUCACCAGUCCCGCUCCUCUUCCUCCUCCUGGCAUGCGCGCCGCCACCCCGCACCUCCUUCCUCCUCCUGGCACGUGCGCUACCAUCCCCGCGCCUCCUUCCUCCUCCUGGCACCCAUGCCUCCUUCCUCCUCCUAGCACCCGUGCCGCCGCCCCUGCACCUCCUUCCUCCUCCUAGCACGCGCGCCACGGCCGCACUUCCUUACUCCUCCUGCCAUGCGCGCCGCCGCCCUGACCUUCCCUGUCGCACUCUCCUCCCAGGCUCCUGCCGCCGCCCCGACCACAUCUCCACCAGCUCCGGCCACCGCCGCGCCGCAUCUCCCCCAACUCCCACACCGCGCAUCUCGUCCUGGUGGGGCUUCAUAACCACAGUACCGGACCACCCCAGGCCAUUCAACGCCACCAACCCGGUCCGUUCAUUGCAGCAACACCCAGGAUCUGGCUACCACCAUGUCGUUCCCACAGUGAUGUUCGAUGGAGCACCUCGUCUCUCUCCUGCUGCAGGGAGGCCCACCUACUGCACUAUGGAGGUCGCGACCUCUUCCUUCUGUAGGUCACCGCCUCCUGCUUCUGUAGGCCGUGCCCCAUCCCCCGAUUCCCGCAGCAGACAUGUCGUUCACCGCCGGCACCACAAUCUGUUCAUUGCCGACAACCGAGGCCGUUCAACGACGCAACGACGAGAUCUAGCCUUCCCCCUUCCUCUUUACAUGUAUCUUUGUAUUCUGUUUCAGUUCAUCUACGUGUCGAUCAUAAGUUUGAUUUCAUCUGUGUUUCCAUGUUAUUCCUGUAUAGUACAAUGGGUAUUUGUAUUUAGUUCAGUUCAUCUACUUGCCGAUUGUAAGUCCAAUUACAUAUGUUUUUCCAUGUUCAUCAUACAGUAUGAGAAGAUUUGUAGAUGCACAACAGAGUUUGCAGACUGCCAUGUUAAACAAUGUCAACAGGCAACAAGCAGCAAGGGAAAAAGAAGAGCAAGAUUGACAUCAGUAGUCAAAAAUAAUAGAACAUCAGUUCUAAAAUUCCCCGCGCAUUAGUACACCUAUUUCUGGUUCUCUAGAUUGGUCUUGGUACAGGAUACAUCUUAAGCUUGGUCUUGGUACAGGAUACAUCUUAAGCUGGAGUUCGUCGCUAAGCAGUUCAGCGAGGUGGAGAUUGGGGCACGGUGGAGUGUGACCGUGUGUGUGCAGACGGCCCGCCGCAAUGUCAUAGUUGGAUGCAUUUCAUAGUUGGAUGGCUACUGAUCUCUCUAAAACCUUGGGAGCAGUUCUUGCAUUACUAGUCCAACCAUACUAGGGCUGGGGGAGAAGGCAGAACCUCUGGGUGCAUGAUGGAAAAAAUUGCAAGUUCUUGUUUGGAUGUUCAGCAUACCCUUCUCUCAUUUCAUUUAUGUUCAGGAUAGCAGGUGCAUGAUGGAAAAUUGUGUAUCAUGUAGUUCUUGUUUAUAUGUCGUGCUAGUUCAAAAAUUGUCGA